rnacentral:tRNA from 1 species
GGGGAGAGCUUGGUGGCAGAGCACAUGCUUAGCACGCACAAGGUCCUGGGUUCAAUCCCCAUUCUCCCCA